ACCGCAGACCGCUCUGCCGCCUUUAGGGGAGGAAAGUCCGGACAACAUAGAGCACCGCACCGUCUAACCGGCGGAGUUCUUCCACUUCGGUGGGAGGGCAUAGAAAGUGUCGCAGAAAAUAACUUCCCGCAGGAGCUGAGGCAGGGCGAGACCCGCCUUCGCCAAGGCUACGGCGGGUAAAGGUGAAAACGUGCGGUAAGAGCGCACGAUUCCGGCAGGCAACUGUCGGGAGGGAUAAACCUUGCGGGUUGAAAUGCCAUGUACACCUUGUUUACCCGCCGUAGUUCCGAUUUGUCGGAACGUAGGCGGGUAACCGCGCGGCUCGCGCAGUCCAGACCUCGGUCGGGAGCAAGGGGGGUAGGCAGCGCAGAUCCCGACUACAAUCGGGACCAGAUAAAUGGCAGAGGUUCUGUGAUCCUGCAAAGGAUCCCGGAAUACAGAAUCCGGCUUAUAGGUCUGCGGUUUUU
rnacentral:RNase_P_RNA from 1 species